rnacentral:ncRNA from 1 species
ACGGGCCAAUGCGGACGCCCGUUCAGGCGGGCCGCCGCCCAAGAUCCGC